UACGAAGGGGGCUAGCGUUGCUCGGAAUCACUGGGCGUAAAGGGUGCGUAGGCGGGUCUUUUAAGUCAGGGGUGAAAUCCUGGAGCUCAACUCCAGAACUGCCUUUGAUACUGAAGAUCUUGAGUUCGGGAGAGGUGAGUGGAACUGCGAGCGUAGAGGUGAAAUUCGUAGAUAUUCGCAAGAACACCAGUGGCGAAGGCGGCUCACUGGCCCGAUACUGACGCUGAGGCACGAAAGCGUGGGGAGCAAACAGG
rnacentral:rRNA from 1 species